rnacentral:misc_RNA from 1 species
GGCAUAACAGCGUUAAAUGUUUACGUGUGAAUGGCGUUGGAGCAUCUAUUGUAUGCACAGAGCCAUCUAUUGAAGAAGAAAAAGCGUUAAAUGUUUCUUUUCGAUUUCCAGUCUUUUAAUAUUCAUACAUUUACUCAUUGACUAGCCGAAUCAUAAAACGUAUUUGCAGUAUGAGGCUCUCGGUUGUAUACGUUCCCCCCUCCCUGCCCCAUUACGAUUUAUUCAAAGCCAUCUCUAUUCUGGUAUCACUGCCUGUCAGUCAAAGCGUGAACAUGGCCGUCAUGGGAUCGAUAGAGGAACGUGAAGAUUGAAUUUAUCCCAUGUCUUCGCGUUUGCGACUUCUCGCGGGACGUGCCCUCGCGAUUGUCGCCUGUAAACCGACGACAUCAUCGAAUGUGGCACAGACACAAGAGAGCAGAUCAUUCUGUGCAUCUAUACGACUGCGCACCACCACCGACGCCGUUCAGCUGAUCGGUGUGACAGGUGAAAGUGUUCCGGAUAGCUGUCGAGCCGUGAAGACGCGAGGCUGACUCACGUUUAACACAAUGCACCGGGCCAGAUGGCUCGCUUGUGGGGAGAGAUCAGCCGUAUCGAAAGUUCCUAAUGUAAACCUAGUUUUCAGAUUUUUCCUUUCUCUUUGGCUAUGCACACUUUAAUAGUGCUUACAUAAUUCUUGCUGCAGCGUGUGUCAUAAGUAUCUACUGAUGCCCAUUGAAGACAGACAGCUGUGGCUCUAACAUGCACGUUUGGAAUUUUCUUCCUUUAUCAUAUACUCAUGGUGGGGUAAUACAACCACAUCUGUAACAUGAAGCUGGAAUUGAAAGCCCUUUGUUUAGUGUUACACAUGGUGCAACAUUUUCUGUGUAACGAUCUGCAUAGCCUAUAGUUUGGGUGUAUGCCACAUUCGAUACUCAACGGGGGAGAAACUUUGUCUUUAACAACAGUGAUUUUAAUAUGGACGGUUUGCAACUUGUUCUGGUUGCCGUUGUUACAUUCAUCUGCGGUAUAAUAUGUACCCUAGCAUUGGAGUUUCAUCUGUUCAAGAGGUACCUUAUUUCGGGACCUCAGGCUGCUUCGCCGCAAAGGCAGCUGCAUCAUGGCAAGGCGCAAUUACCUAAGGAACUGGUGGAGCAGAUGCAGGAGGAACGAUUGAAUUGUAAUAACAGUAUGACACGUCAAGCGAUGUCCCAGGGCAAUGAGAACCUAGCUAUCAAUCUCACGCUGCAAUUCCUUUUCAAUGAACUGCGAAAUGCCGAGCGAGUGCGUCUUUGGCUUUACAGGAAGUUGAAUAACGAAUUUAAGGAGCUGUUGACACAGUCGACCACCGGCAAACUGCUAGACAGCGUGAAAUUGAGAGACUUAAACCUUGGUACGCAAUUUCCCACGAUCAAGGGCUUAGAAGUCGCUGACUCGAAGAUCGACGCUGACACGGGUCUGCUGGAGUCUCUAGACUUGGCCUUAGAUUUACAUUACUCAGGGAACUUUCAAUUGUCUAUAGAUGUUAAGAUGCUGCUAGGAAAAACUGCGUACAUGGCGUUGCAAGUGAAAUGUAUCAGCGGUAAAGCUAGGCUACAGUUUACUCGUGUACCGUACACGCACUGGUCUUUAAGCUUCUAUUCGGAUCCGAUCUUGGAGCUGGAAGUGCAGUCGCAGUUCCAAGGCCGUCAAUUGCAGCCGCAGAUAAUUUCGCUCAUUACCAGCCAGAUCAGGCGGGCAGUAAGACGGAAACAUACUCUACCUCGUUACAAAAUGCGCUACAAGCCGUUCUUCCGAAGAUUGAACGACGAGGCCGUGGAUCUCUCAGAGGUCGCCAGUACGCAACUCACUCCGGGAUAUCUAGAGGUCGUGUUACUGGAGAUCAGCAGAUUGAAUAUCACACCCAUCGUACUCAAUAACAGCGAGGACCUCUCCCAGAUGGAAGUGUACUGCAGCAUGAGCGUGGAUCCCACGCCGUGGGUGUAUUUGACACAAUAUAGCGGCGUUCCUUAUAUGGUGCUAGAUCUGAUCAUCAGCAAAACUGGUUCCCAACAGCUGGGCGUGGUGUUCAAGCAAGAGAUCGUGCCAGAGAUUGGCCAAGUGUGCGUGCUGGUGGAAACGAUAGUGUCCGGCAGUCCGGCGGCGAUCGCCGAGAUGAAGAAAGGCGAUAUCCUGGUAGCGGUGGACGGCAAGAAAGUGUCUAAUAUGAAUCAGGUGGCGAAAUUCGUCAAGUCCGCCGUGCAGCGACGCUUCAUCAUCCGAGUGGAGAGACGGUAUUCCAAGGUGGACUUGGAAAGACAAAGCGGCAUAAGGAUGGACAGCGAAAGGGUAUCUUUUACCGAGAGGAAAGCGUCGAAGAGCGAUUCCGUAGGCAGAGUGGACAGUCCGAGCGCGGAGGACGCCGGAAAGAUGAAGUUUGAGACGCAGAUCAAGUUCUCCGACCUGCGAGACUCGGACUGCGAUCUCACGGACAGCCGGUCGGACACUAGCAAGCUAUUCAAAAGAAGAAAGAGCAGCGUGCAAACGGAAGACGCUGCCCAAACGCCUGACACUACGCCGUCUCGACGGAUCUCUACCGUCUCUAUAUCGUCGGCGGCAUCCAGCAGCGUGCAGUUUUAUCUACCUGACGAUAAUUACAGCAUCGCCGAUUUACAUUCUAACACGAGGGAAAAACCGUAUGCCUCUCUAAUCACGUUCGAAGAGACCAAGAGUUUCCGGAUUGAUUCCGAGCUACAAUAUUUGAAUGUGGGAGUAUGGGGACGAGUGAAAGGAGGCGAGGCGCCCUCCAAACUUCUCGGCUACAUCAAUGCACCCAUCAAGUUGAUUUUAGCGCAAUGCUGCACAUCCACGACGGGGCAUUACUUGAAAUGUCACGCACUGCUGCCACCGGAAAGCGCUUCUUUAGCGACAUCCUAUGUAAGACUGCAAGGCUACUCCGGAUUUGACCCGACGCUUUGUUACGGUGAUAUUUUGCUAUCGUACGUUUGGGAAUCUUGUCAACCGAGCGAUCAAGCGAUUAGUGAUGCCGGGAAGAAGGAAAACGCGGAAACUGCUAAAAUUCAACCAAUUCUGAACGAGGAGGUCGCCGACCGGAAGAUGCAUGAUUUUAUCAGGACGCAUUUUCACAGAGCAACGCACUGUGACUUCUGUACGAAGAAGAUAUGGUUGAAAGAUGCGGUGCAAUGUCGAGAUUGCGGUAUGGUAUGCCACAAGAAGUGCGAGGCACGUUGCCAGGCGUCCGGCACUUGCGGUGCGGAGAGUCUGGCUACACUGGCACUGGAGGCUGAUGAGAUCGAGCCGAGUACUAUCAUCGGGGAUAUCGGUCCAGAGAUCUCUCUAACCGGGUGUGAAGAUAACGUACAGGUACUCAAGACGUAGAACGUUAGGCGCAACUUUCGUUUUUCGUGACUGUAAUCGGGAACAUUUCGAGUUCUCCUUUGCAAUGUACGAUACUCACACACGGGGCAGUUUCGGAUUGGAAGGAGAAAUACAAAGAAACGCUUAGUCAUUGAUAGCUUUACAAUUUGAAAUCAUUUUCGAUAGAGCUUUAUUGAGAGAAAAGUCAAAUUCGUGCAUUUUAUACCUAAGAAUUUCCGACCAAGUAAAGAUAUGUACAUAUGUAGAGGGUGUCCCGGAAGGAAAGGUCAAUAUUUCGUGGGGAUAUAGAAUGAGGUAAUAUAAGGUAAAAAUGUUAUAUAAACAUGGUGUCGUUUAUUACUGGUUUCCGAGAUACAGCUAUGUUAAAUUACACGUCGGAAUUUAAAGUUGGCGCAUCAUUGGGAUUUCGUCCUUCACCGUAACGGAGCGCUGCAGGCUGUGAUGGCUUCUACACACAGGACGCGGUAACGCGUUGACCAAUCACAGUCUUUCUUUUCCAGAGAUAUGAGUUAUAUAACUGUAAAAGAAAGACUGUGAUUGGUCAACGUGUUGCCGCGUCCUGUGUGUAGAAGCCAUGUAUCAGUUGGAAAGGUUAGCGAAACACACCUGGUGAUGGUUGGAUGUGGUUCCCGUAAUUACGCAUAUUUUUGAUUGUGUCCCCACGUAUACGCGUUGUCCCUGUUUUUCUUUUACUUUCGUAAUUGUUGACUGGUGUAGGAGAUAGAGUGUAACAGCUCUGCUCAGAGCCAUUUAUUGAAUCAGAAUCAGAAUCAGAACCUAGUGAUCUGUCCUGCUGUUUGUGGCACACUGCAAACAUGCCGCAUAUGUUUUCUAAUGUAGAGUACGCAAAUAUGGUUUAUGUUUAUGGGUAUUGUGAUGGCAGUGCUCCCGCAGCCGUUAAAGAAUAUCAUCGCCGCAUUCCAGAUCGAAGAGUAUUCUCAAACGUGUUUAACAGCUUACGUGAAAAUGGUACACUUCUUCCCAGUGCUCACAUCACAUCUGAACGAGAGAGAGUUGAGAGAAAUGAUGAGGAAGAAGAAAAUAUAAUUUCAAAUGGUACAAAUGGCACUUCAAAUGAUACAAAGCAGCCCUACGACUAGUACAAGAAGGGUCUCUGCACGUACUGGUAUUCCUCGGACACUGUCUGGCGGAUACUGCAUGACCAACAUCUGUACCCAUUUCAUCCGCAACAAGUACAAAAUCUCCAUGAAGGAAAUGGAACCACACGUCUACAGUUUUGCCAGUGGCUACAAAAUCAUCGUGAAUUGAUUCCCGUCAUACUUUUCACUGACGAGGCAACAUUUACGCAUAAUGCACGACGGAACACCUCCUCAUAACACACAUCUUGUAAGAGAACACUUAAAUGCAGUGUUUUCACAUCGCUGGAUCGGUCACGGUGGAACAGUGCAGUGGCCACCAAGAUCACCCGACCUAACUCCCCUGGAUUUCUGCUUGUGGGAUUGGUUAAAGUGCGAGGUGUAUAAAACUAAAGUGAAUACAUGGGAUGAACUUAUUGCAAUAGCUGCUGUUGACCAAAUUAGGACCCGUGAAGAUGCUCUCCGGCGCGCAACCCACCAUGUUCUCACAAAAUGUGACAAAUGUAUCGAAGUACGGGGCGAAAUAUUUGAAAAUUUGUUAUGAUAGAUGUAUUACAAUGUAAUUGCGGUAAACUUCAACUCAUAUUAGACAAUUCCGACGUGUAAUUUAACAUAGCUGUAUCUCGGAAACCAGUAAUGAACGACACCAUGUUUAUAUAACAUUUUUGCCUUAUAUUACCUCAUUCUAUACCCCCACGAAAUAUUGAUCUUUCCUCUCGGGACACUCUGUAUAUACCCGCGUUUUUUUAGAGCUCAUUUUAAUUUAUUUCUUCGAUAUUGAUUUUGAGUGAUAUUGAUUUGCGAAUGACGUGAUAUUAACAUUUCGAAGGAAAACGGGAGUAAAUUGAAGAAUUUGCCUCCCAGUCCGAGCCUGCGGAUCAUGCGGUGAUCGAAUAAUUAUUAUUUUGUGAAUUUGUGUUGAUUUAUACGUUGCAUCUUUUACGAAAACAUGCGAUACUUAUAAACACAUCAUGACGUAAACUUUACGUCAUUUUGCAAGUAUUUCAUACUUAUUAUUUUUUUAAGGAUAUCACUCUUCGUUUUGUGUACCAUAAUUUAUAUACACUGUCAGUUUGUGUGCUUAAUAUUCGUAAUUUAUUGAUGUAAAUAAGGAAUAUAUCUAAAAUAUCUAGGGAAUUAGAAAAAUGUGGAAUAGUAACAAUUGAGACUGAAUUCCGCAUUUCAAAUGAUGUCCAAUUUAAUCGCUUGUUCUUAUUUAUUUAUUACUUUAUUUACCGAAUUUGUAUCGAGAGAGUGAAUUUUUUUACCGAGCAUUAUCAUUUUGAUAUAUCAUGCCACUUCAAGCACCAAUCACGAUGCGAAAAGGAAUCUAAAAGACGAUUAUCAGUAUUACAUAUCGAUAAAAUGCAGAUGCGCUUGACAGCAUGUCAUGUGGUUAAGGGAAGUGUAUAGCUUUCGAGAACUCGCGCGUAUCUUUGAACGCAUUUAUCUUGGUAUUUUGUACAUAGGAAGCAGAUUGUUAAGCGUAACUCACAUUCUGUUGUUGGCAAUAAAACGAAUUGAACGUA